GAUGAAGAACGCAGCGAAAUGCGAUACGUAAUGUGAAUUGCAGAAUUCAGUGAAUCAUCGAGUCUUUGAACGCACAUUGCGCCCCCUGAUAUUCCGGGGGGCAUGCCUGUCCGAGCGUCAUUGCUGCCCUCAAGCACGGCUUGUGUGUUGGGCCUCCGUCCUCCUCCCGGGGGACGGGCCCGAAAGGCAGCGGCGGCACCGCGUCCGGUCCUCGAGCGUAUGGGGCUUCGUCACCCGCUCUUGUAGGCCCGGCCGGCGCUUGCCGACACAUCAAUCUUUUUUCCAGGUUGACCUCGGAUCAGGUAGGGAUACCCGCUGAACUUAAGCAUAUCAAUAAGCGGAGGA
rnacentral:misc_RNA from 1 species